GAGUUUGAUCUUGGCUCAGAGUGAACGCUGGCGGCAGGCCUAACACACGCAAGUCGAACGGCAGCACAGAGGAGCUUGCUCCUUGGGUGGCGAGUGGCGGACGGGUGAGGAAUGCAUCGGAAUCUGCCUAUUUGUGGGGGAUAACGUAGGGAAACUUACGCUAAUACCGCAUACGUCCUACGGGAGAAAGUGGGGGACCUUCGGGCCUCACGCAGAUAGAUGAGCCGAUGCCGGAUUAGCUAGUUGGCGGGGUAAAGGCCCACCAAGGCGACGAUCCGUAGCUGGUCUGAGAGGAUGAUCAGCCACACUGGAACUGAGACACGGUCCAGACUCCUACGGGAGGCAGCAGUGGGGAAUAUUGGACAAUGGGCGCAAGCCUGAUCCAGCCAUGCCGCGUGUGUGAAGAAGGCC
rnacentral:rRNA from 1 species